GAAAACCUUACAAGUUCUGGACCAACGAGACUCCACAGCUCAUACUUCUUCUUUAUGUCCAGCUGGAAACCGAGCAUGUUGUGAACCAGCCUUGAAGCCCAAUCAAAUCCCAGCUCUUGGAACUUGAUGAAAACUCCCAACUUCGACUCCUUCAGCUUUUCAUAUUCGUCAACAUGAAGAGAUUUCUUUAAAGCAGCAUGCAACGUCCAACAAGUAUGAUACGAAAUGCUAUGCACUUCGGGGGGCUCUUCCCCUAAUGUAUAUAUCCUACGGGGGAGUUCUGGCAUCUCCAUUUUUUUUUCCUGCAAAACAAUCAAAGACAACCAUCUCAAACAUUCAAAGACUUAUAAUUAAGUCGUCUGGCAAGUUUUCCAGCUGGAAGACUUUCCAGACGAAAGUCUUCCAAGACUUCCAGUUUUAUGUUCAUCUUUUCCCCAA
rnacentral:lncRNA from 1 species